CCUGCUUGGGCCUUCCAAAUUGUUGGGAUCAUAGAUGCAGAAACCACGGCCCAGGGAAGACGCAGCUUGAGCAAGGUCACCGGCAGUAAAAUGGGAAUAAAAAGAAAAUCUACGUAACAGUAGAUAUUCUGUGAGGAUUACGUGAAUUCAUAUUUGAAGAGUGAGUAGAAGGGUUCCUGGCACAAGCUCUACAAGUGUGGCUGGAAUGAAUAUGAUGAUGAGGAUGAAGAUGAGGAUGGCGGGGCUGGAGCUCAAGUGCCAUACUGUGUCCUGGAGCAGAAGCCACGUGUUGAGGACAGUCUGGACCCUUAACGAGGGUUGAGCCACGACACCAGCCUGUGACUGUUUACCUCUUGAGUUUGUUUACAGGAGAAGAAAAUAAACUCUCACCUUGUUUAACACACCAUCCUGUUGGCUUUUCAGUUUGCUUGUAGCCCGAUCUAAUCCUAACUGAUACAGGAACAUUGUAGGUUCAACUCACAUCCCUGUCCCCUGCACCAUGUUGUCGCUCUUUAAGAUAAUGUCUCACUGUUCCUACUUGGGUUGUACAUUCCUUGAGGACGGAAAAGCUUCCCACUCACAGUAGGUGCCCAGAAAGUAAGUAUCGAAUUAAUGGAAGAACAAUGUGAAAAUCAUUCUGGUUAGGUAGACAAGGAAUUCUUUGGCUAGUUGCAGAAAAUCAGUGAUAGUAAUAACAAAAUUUAUCAAGCAUAAUGGCUGGCGUGCUUUUUUUUUUUUUUUUUCCAAGUCAGAGUCUUGCUCUGUUGCCCAAGCUGGAGGGCAGUGAUGUGAUCACAUCUCACUGCACCCUUGACCUCCUGCCUCAAAUGAUCCCUCCAUCUCAGCCUCCUGUGCACCAGCACACCCAGCUAAUUUUUAAAUUUUUUUUUUGUAGGGAUGAGGUCUUACUAUAUUGCCCAGUCUGGUCUUGAACUUCUGGACUCAAUUGAUCCUCCUGCCUCAGCCUUCCAAAGUGUUGGGAUGACAGGUAUGAGCCACUAUGCCCAGUCCCUGGCAUUCCAAGUACUUCAAGUGUAUUUUAUAGUUCAGCUCUCAUGACAAUCCUAUGAAAUAAAUACAGUUGGCCCUCUACACCUGUGGGCUCUGCAUCGAUGGAUUCAACCAACCAUGGAUU
rnacentral:lncRNA from 10 species